rnacentral:lncRNA from 1 species
AGAAGUAGUGGAUUAAAUAUUAUGUGAGUAAGAAUUAUAAAAAAAUUAGGACUUAAUAUCACUAGAUCCUCUCCAUAUGUGAUUAACAUGUCUAAUCAAAGCCAAGACACUCUUUUGAGGCAAAUUAGUGGUUGUAAGAUGACGACAGGGGGUGAAGAGUAUUUCCUCAUAUUCCAUAUUAUAUACAUGUAUUCUAGCAAAAAUUCAUAUCAAUUGCUUCUAGAUAGACCAUGGUUA